rnacentral:rRNA from 1 species
GAACGUUGGAAACAGCGGUUAGGAGCUUACACCCACCCGUGUUUACAUACUAUUGUUGCUUUGGCGGGCCGUGGCCUCCACUGCGGGCUCUGCUCGUGUGUGCCCGCCAGAGAACCAAACUCUGAAUGUUAGUGAUGUCUGAGUACUAUCUAAUAGUUAAAACUUUCAACAACGGAUCUCUUGGUUCUGGCAUCGAUGAAGAACGCAGCGAAAUGCGAUAAGUAAUGUGAAUUGCAGAAUUCAGUGAAUCAUCGAAUCUUUGAACGCACAUUGCGCCCUGUGGUAUUCCGCAGGGCAUGCCUGUUCGAGCGUCAUUUAACCACUCACGCCUAGCGUGGUAUUGGGGCACGCGGUCUCGCGGCCCUCAAAAUUAGUGGCGGCGCCGGUGGGCUCUAAGCGUAGUACAUACUCCCGCUAUAGAGUUCCCCCGGUGGCUCGCCAGAACCCCCAAUUUUUUACAGGUUGACCUCGGAUCAGGUAGGGAUACCCGCUGAACUUAAGCAUAUC